rnacentral:rRNA from 1 species
CUACAUGCAGUCGAGCGGUAGGCCCUUCGGAGUACACGAGCGGCAAACGGGUGAGUACACGUGAGCAACCUGCCCCUGACUCUGGGAUAAGCGGUGGAAACGCCGUCUAAUACCGGAUACGACCCGCCACCUCAUGGUGGAGGGUGGAAAGUUUUUCGGUCAGGGAUGGGCUCGCGGCCUAUCAGCUUGUUGGUGGGGUAACGGCCUACCAAGGCGAUUACGGGUAGCCGGCCUGAGAGGGCGACCGGCCACACUGGGACUGAGACACGGCCCAGACUCCUGCGGGAGGCAGCAGUGGGGAAUAUUGCGCAAUGGGCGAAAGCCUGACGCAGCGACGCCGCGUGGGGGAUGACGGCCUUCGGGUUGUAAACCUCUUUUACCACCAACGCAGGCUCGAAGUUCUCUUCGGGUUGACGGUAGGUGGGGAAUAAGGACCGGCUAACUACGUGCCAGCAGCCGCGGUAAUACGUAGGGUCCGAGCGUUGUCCGGAAUUAUUGGGCGUAAAGAGCUCGUAGGCGGCGUGUCACGUCUGCUGUGAAAGACCGGGGCUUAACUCCGGUUCUGCAGUGGAUACGGGCAUGCUAGAGGUAGGUAGGGGAGACUGGAAUUCCUGGUGUAGCGGUGAAAUGCGCAGAUAUCAGGAGGAACACCGGUGGCGAAGGCGGGUCUCUGGGCCUUACCUGACGCUGAGGAGCGAAAGCAUGGGGAGCGAACAGGAUUAGAUACCCUGGUAGUCCAUGCCGUAACGUUGGGCGCUAGGUU